AACGUAGGUGGCGAGCGUUAUCCGGAUUUACUGGGCGUAAAGCGUGUGCAGGCGGUGGUACAAGUGGUGUAUGAAAUCGCUCGGCUUAACCGGGCGGGGUUAUGCCAGACUGAACCACUAGAGUGCGAGAGAGGGGCGUGGAAUUCCGGGUGUAGUGGUGAAAUGCGUAGAGAUCCGGAGGAACCCCAGAGGCGAAGGCGGCGCCCUGGCUCGCAACUGACGCUCAGACACGACAGCAUGGGGAGCGAACGGG
rnacentral:rRNA from 1 species